rfam:Picea glauca, whole genome shotgun sequence.
GGAGGUAUGGUCGAGUGGCUUAAGGCAUCGGUUUUCUAAAUAAACACACAAUAAGAUUUUCUAAUGGGUUAGAAUCCCAUUUCCUUCA